CAGAGCCACUGCUGUAUUAAGUUUGUCCUCCUGCUGUUACCGUAGCUCCUUUCCCCUUUGUCACGCCUUCCAGUUAGCUUCUAAGUGGCUAGGUUUCCUUAGCGGCAACACCACUUUCUAUAAAAUAACAGGCUCACCGGUAGGCCGACUAAGAUCCCUGGUUGCUGUAAACACUGCCGAUUCGGCUAUCCUUGGUUCCCUGGGUGUUCGUCUGUGAAAGGUGUCCUACUGUCGCUAGACGCUUCCGAGUAGUUGGUGGGUAGAUCUACUACUGAAGGUCUCGGGUGAAAAGACGUUUUAACGAAGCCCUGCACUGUUUACCAAGGAACCUAGCCAACAAAGGUACAUUUAUUUGUAACUCUCGUUAGGGAGAGAAAUAUUUGUCUGUAAACCCUUUUGCUCUUAUCUAUGUCUGUUUACUACCUCUAUGUGAUUGUUGCCGCUUUAGUAUGAUGUAGCACAUGUGAGCUAAUCAUGUCCUCAGUCUAUGAUGCAAAUGCCUGUCUCGCUGUAUCUGACAUAUGCUUGUGUACAGCAGUGUUCUCAUGCCAGCUUGUGGUGACGAGUGCCAGGGGUCCCCUUGCCAUGUUGUGUUUGCUUUUAGGAUGCACUGAGGUAAAGUAGAAUGAUGCCUAGUGUGAAGGUGUAAAUCCUGUCAAUGGAAAACUGUUAUUUGUUGAUUGUGUAUUGUUUAUGGAUGACUGAUUCUGACUGUUUUGUGUCUCCAGAACCAGUUGCCACUGCUGUUUUGCCUACUGUAAAAUUAAUGUAAAGUAGCUUUCGCCCGUUUUGUUUGUUUUCUUUUUCUGUUUAGUUGGUUUCAUUUGGUAUUAUUUGACUUGGCCGUUACCUUUUAGCCUCCUGUUGCCUCUCUCCUUCACGGCAUUAGGGCAUGUGUGGUACUGGCUGCCCCAGUAGUUUGCUACCAGUAAAAUCCUUCCUAUUCAGCUUUGCUCUACUGUUUUCCCAGUCACUGAGUGCUAACCAUCGCCUCCCCCCUUCUCUC